UACGGGGGGUGCGAGCGUUGUCCGGAAUCACUGGGCGUAAAGGGCGCGUAGGUGGCGUGAUAAGGGUGUGGUGAAAGCCCGGGGCUCAACCCCGGGUCGGCCAUGCCGACUGUCAGGCUGGAGACACGUAGAGGCAAGCGGAAUUCCGGGUGUAGCGGUGGAAUGCGUAGAGAUCCGGAAGAACACCGGAGGCGAAGGCGGCUUGCUGGGCGUGAUCUGACGCUGAGGCGCGAAAGCGUGGGGAGCGAACAGG
rnacentral:rRNA from 1 species